GGGGCAGCGGGGUAGUGCUUGCACUACUGCCGGCGACCGGCGCACGGGUGAGUAACACGUAUGGAACCUGCCCGCAGCAGGGGGAUAAGCGGAAGAAAUUCCGUCUAAUACCGCGUAAGAACGUUGGGAGGCAUCUCCCGAUGUUUAAAGAUUUAUCGGCUGCGGAUGGCCAUGCGGCGCAUUAGCUAGUCGGCGGGGUAACGGCCCACCGAGGCGACGAUGCGUAGGGGUUCUGAGAGGAAGGUCCCCCACACUGGUACUGAGACACGGACCAGACUCCUACGGGAGGCAGCAGUGAGGAAUAUUGGUCAAUGGCCGAGAGGCUGAACCAGCCAAGUCGCGUGAGGGAAGACGGCCCUACGGGUUGUAAACCUCUUUUGUCGGGGAGCAAAGCGAACCACGUGUGGUUCAUUGAGAGUACCCGAAGAAAAAGCAUCGGCUAACUCCGUGCCAGCAGCCGCGGUAAUACGGAGGAUGCGAGCGUUAUCCGGAUUUAUUGGGUUUAAAGGGUGCGCAGGCGGAGGUGCAAGUCAGCGGUCAAAUUGCGGGGCUCAACCCCGUACUGCCGUUGAAACUGCAUCCCUUGAGUGCGCGAGAAGUAUGCGGAAUGCGUGGUGUAGCGGUGAAAUGCAUAGAUAUCACGCAGAACUCNGAUUGCGAAGGCAGCAUACCGGCGCGCAACUGACGCUCAUGCACGAAAGCGUGGGUAUCGAACAGGAUUAGAUACCCUGGUAGUCCACGCAGUAAACGAUGAACACUAACUGUUCGGCCAGAAUGAUGGCUGAGUGGUACAGCGAAAGCGUUAAGUGUUCCACCUGGGGAGUACGCCGGCAACGGUGAAACUCAAAGGAAUUGACGGGGGCCCGCACAAGCGGAGGAACAUGUGGUUUAAUUCGAUGAUACGCGAGGAACCUUACCCGGGCUCAAACGACACAGGAAUACUUUUGAAAGGAGGUAGCCCUACGGGGUCUGUGUCGAGGUGCUGCAUGGUUGUCGUCAGCUCGUGCCGUGAGGUGUCGGCUUAAGUGCCAUAACGAGCGCAACCCCUAUCGCCAGUUACCAUCAAGUAAAGUUGGGGACUCUGGCGAGACUGCCGGCGCAAGCUGAGAGGAAGGCGGGGAUGACGUCAAAUCAGCACGGCCCUUACGUCCGGGGCGACACACGUGUUACAAUGGCAGGUACAGAGAGAAGCCAGGUGGUGACACCGAGCGGAACUCGAAAGCCUGUCUCAGUUCGGAUCGGAGUCUGCAACCCGACUCCGUGAAGCUGGAUUCGCUAGUAAU
rnacentral:rRNA from 1 species